GGUUAUUUGUUUCGGAUUAGGACGAAUUGCAGGGACAUAUGGAUCUGUGCUUUCGGUACGGCCUCGAUUGUUUGACAUGUCUCCUCCACUUGGAGUGAAAAGUCAGGUGCGGAUUAUCAACUUCAUUGCAGCUCGCUGACAUUACGUGACUCAGUUGGCCCGAAGUGAAACGAUGUGGAAGGCAGACUGCAUGCAAAAGGCAACUGGUAGGUUAGUGCAUGCACAUACCUUGGGGAGCAAGAUAGCAAGCAGGAGGACCUGCAGGACGACUUCGUGGCGACAUACCAUUCACCCAACAAAGAAAUCGUCGAGUGUAAGCAAUAAUUGAACAACGACGAGUGCGUACAGGGACGCGUUCCUAGCAACGCUUGAGCACCGUAGCAUCAUAGCACCGCUCAUUGCAGAAGCACGGGCGGCGCUACGAUGCUGCGGUGCUCACGCGCUGCCAGACGCGAUCGAGACAGCGCACCACAGGACAGGACACCGGGCGCGUCUCGUAUGCACUCUUCUAAUGUUCAAUUAUGUGUCACCAGCUCUCCCAAAUUUCCGUUGCCAGUGAAAGCAAGUUGCCCGCCGGCAGUGCACGAAGACACAUAGUUUCAUUGAAGACGAACGGGACCAGAAGAAAACCACCUUAGUGCGACAGGGCGUCGGUUGGCGAGUACCUACAGCUACUUACGUCAGUACCUACACCAGGAUGAACGCCGGCCGCAGACACAGGGAUUGGCGUCCGACCAGCUACGGGAGUACCUCUCGAAAGUUGCGCGUUCGAGAAAGUUGGCGACUUCGCACAAGGCCCGGCACGGAACUCCAGGAACCUCCGGCUGUCUCCUAUUUCGAAACUAGGACAAUGCUCAACUGCUGCGCACUAGAAGAAAGGAUGUACGCAACAAGAAGUUUCCGUUGUUGAUGGGGCACGAAGGCUUCGACGCGACGACCGCCAAUAUGACGAGAAUAAUGGCACAGGUAAAUAGUGUGUUGUUGACCCUCCGUCUCCAAUAGCUGAGCAACACUACACAGGCCCACUAUAGGAACUAGGAACAGAAAUAUUUCUUGGUGCAUUCCUUAUAGCAUUGAGAUCACUUGAGGUUCCUGACAGAACAACUCCUGCCAGAACAGUUUUCAAACCGAACAGAAGCCAUAAACUAGUUUGUUCUCGUUCGCAGCACCACAUAUUACUGCGGCGCGAAAUUCUGCCGUACGUUUUCGCUGUUUCUGAUGUCGUGAACUAUGUAACUUUUACAACACUUGAGUUACAUUUGCUACAUUCCAGUUUGCGUAUGCAAACUUCA